rnacentral:rRNA from 1 species
GAUCAUGGCUCAGGAUGAACGCUGGCGGCGUGCCUAAUACAUGCAAGUCGAACGCUUCACUUCGGUGAAGAGUGGCGAACGGGUGAGUAACACGUAGGUAACCUGCCCAUGUGCCCGGAAUAACUUCUGGAAACGGAUGCUAAAACCGGAUAGGUAGCAGACAAGCAUUUGACUGCUAUUAAAGUGGCUAUGGCCAUGAACAUGGAUGGACCUGCGGUGCAUUAG